rnacentral:lncRNA from 1 species
CAACAUGUAUCUAAAAAUAUAAUGACAGUAAAAUACUAAGCUUGGAUUAAACAUCCAUCAGGUUAAAAUAUUCAUUUUUCUCUUUUCAUUAGAAAAUUAAAACAGACAGAAUUUAACAUCAUCAAUAUUGUCUUUCUUCUAUGAUUAUAGUAAACAAGAAUUUAAAGUUGUGAAUAUUAGUUUAGAUGGAAAUGAAUUAAGCGUAUCAAAAGAAUAUUAACAUUAACGUAUUAUGUAACAGGAUGAACAAGAUAAAACAGAUUUCGAUAAUCUAACUACGGAUGAUGCAGAUACACAUUUCGAGAUGGUACUUUAACAAUUGAAAGUUUAGAUGGAAAUAAAUUAUAUUUAGAUUCAACGACUCAAUUUAGAAUGUAUACAAUUGUAUCACAUAGUGUCGUUGAAAAUUUUGAAUCGGAUGUGAUCGUUCCUUAUUAGAGGAGAAUAUGAUAUCUAUCUAAUAUAUUUUUAUAUGUUUAAUAUAUAUUCAAUGAUAGGCAAUGACAGAGUGAAAUUAGAUAGAAGUUUGAAAAUGAUAUGAUAAGCAAUACGUAAUUGAACAAAUGAGUGAUAAAAAAAAUUUGAAGAUAAAUUUAUAAGCGAAAAUAUAUAUAAAUCUGAUGAUAUCUUCGUUAACAAUAUUCCUGUGUAUUUAGAAACAUUGA